AUUGAACGCUAGCGGGAUGCCUUACACAUGCAAGUCGAACGGCAGCGCGGACUUCGGUCUGGCGGCGAGUGGCGAACGGGUGAGUACUGUAUCGGAACGUGCCCAGUAGCGGGGGAUAACUACUCGCAAGAGUAGCUAAUACCGCAUACGCCCUACGGGGGAAAGGGGGGGAUCGCAAGACCUCUCACUAUUGGAGCGGCCUAUAGCGGAUUAGCUAGUUGGUGAGGUAAAGGCUCACCAAGGCGACGAUCCGUAGCUGGUUUGAGAGGACGACCAGCCACACUGGGACUGAGACACGGCCCAGACUCCUACGGGAGGCAGCAGUGGGGAAUUUUGGACAAUGGGGGCAACCCUGAUCCAGCCAUUCCGCGUGUGCGAUGAAGGCCUUCGGGUUGUAAAGCACUUUUGGCAGGAAAGAAAUCGCACGGAUUAAUACUCUGUGUGGAUGACGGUACCUGCAGAAUAAGCACCGGCUAACUACGUGCCAGCCGCCGCGGUAA
rnacentral:rRNA from 1 species